rnacentral:rRNA from 1 species
UACGGAGGGUGCAAACGUUUGUCCGGAUUUACUGGGCGUAAAGCGCAUGUAGGUGGCCUUAUAAGUGAAUGAUUAAAGACCAACGCUUAACGUUGGAACUGUUGUUCAUACUGUUUGGCUGGAGGGUGGCAGGGGAGCAUGGAACUUUGAGUGUAGGAGUGAUAUCCGUAGAUAUUCAAAGGAACACCAAUGGCGAAGGCAGUGCUCUGGGC